CAUGAAGCUGGAAUCGCUAGUAAUCGCGGAUCAGAAUGCCGCGGUGAAUACGUUCCCGGGUCUUGUACACACCGCCCGUCACACCAUGGGAGUCGGAAAUGCCCGAAGUCUGUGACCUAACCGUAAGGAAGGAGCAGCCGAAGGCAGGUCGGAUGACUGGGGUGAAGUCGUAACAAGGUACC
rnacentral:rRNA from 1 species